rnacentral:rRNA from 1 species
GACGUUUAGCUGCAGAAGAAGCACCGGCUAACUCCGUGCCAGCAGCCGCGGUAAUACGGAGGGUGCGAGUCGUUAAUCGGAAUUUACUGGGCGUAAAGCGCAUGCAGGUGGUUUGUUAAGUCAGAUGUGAAAGCCCGGGGCUCAACCUCGGAAUUGCAUUUGAAACUGGCAAACUAGAGUACUGUAGAGGGGGUAGAAUUUCAGGUGUAGCGGUGAAAUGCGUAGAGAUCUGAAGGAAUACCGGUGGCGAAGGCGGCCCCCUGGACAGAUACUGACACUCAGAUGCGAAAGCGUGGGGACGCAAACAGGAUUAGAUACCCUGGUAG